GAGUUUGUCAAGCCAGAAAGCAACCCUCCAGCAUCCAGAUUACCCUUCGAAGACGGCAAAGAAAAAGAGAGCUCUGAAAUCACUCAACGCAUAGGAGCUGGUUCUAUAAUUUUUAGACUUUAAUUAAAUCAAUUAUUAAAGCCUUUCUUAAUGCCUUGCUGAGAUAUUCAGGCUCGGGCUGCCUCAGGAGAGAGGAAGUGGUUGAAUGCACAGAGGUGGCUAAUAAGAGGGGACACAACAUUCCAGAAUCCCACAGGAAAGAUUCUACCAUCUCCACAGCUGCCCUCGCCGCAGUCCUCCCUACUGUUGGAGAAGAUGCCCCCAAUAACUGGGGUGUCUCGAGCUAGUGGACACAUCAUGGAGCUGGAGUGGACUGUGUCAUUAAGAUCCUCCCAUGGCCUCAUCCUGUGCUGGCCAUCGCUAUGCGUCCAGUAAGGAGGUAGAACACUGGAUGAGCCACAGAAAGCACACAGGACUUUGCUGUGGAAGAGUCAAAGAUCCACGUGGGAGCAUCCCGUAGGGGACUUGCGUUUCAGAUCAGAUGAUGCUUUUCAUGUAUGUCCAGCAGCAAGAGAGUCCUUCACUGGUGAAAAAUCACGGGCCUCAGAGCAGAUUUUAGUUCAUCUUUCAUUUCAAAGCACUCCUUAGAUAUCUGCAAAUUAAAUCCCCUAAUUUGGUGAGGACGCCCAGCUUCCCAAAUAACAAGGCUUUUCCUUUGAUUCUAACCAAGUGAGCCGGCCCUGCAAAAGCCGGGGUGCGUGUUCUGGCUCCAGGCUUCUGAGCAGCCUUUCUCCCCACGCUGCAGCUUUUCAGUUAGGAAGUCAGAGAGAAGGAAAGAGAACUAUUUCCAAUUCAAUCACGAGCAUGUCUACGCACCACUGAAGACAGACCUUUGUCCUGUUGCUUUCCAAACUUUAAAUGUGAAUUUUUCUUCUUA